CACGCAGGCGGAUUGAUAAGUCAGGGGUGAAAUCCCGGGGCUCAACCUCGGAAUUGCCUUUGAUACUGUCUAUCUUGAGUUCGGGAGAGGUUGGCGGAAUUCCUAGUGUAGAGGUGAAAUUCGUAGAUAUUAGGAAGAACACCAGUGGCGAAGGCGGCCAACUGGCCCGAUACUGACGCUCAUGUGCGAAAGCGUGGGGAGCAAACAGGAUUAGAUACCCUGGUAGUCCACGCCGUAAACUAUGGAUGCUAGCCGUUGGGGAGCUUGCUCUUCAGUGGCGCAGCUAACGUCUUAAGCAUCCCGCCUGGGGAGUACGGUCGCAAGAUUAAA
rnacentral:rRNA from 1 species